GGCGAACGCUGGCGGCGUGCUUAACACAUGCAAGUCGAACGGAAAGGCCCUGCUUUUGUGGGGUGCUCGAGUGGCGAACGGGUGAGUAACACGUGAGUAACCUGCCCUUGACUUUGGGAUAACUUCAGGAAACUGGGGCUAAUACCGGAUAGGAGCUCCUGCUGCAUGGUGGGGGUUGGAAAGUUUCGGCGGUUGGGGAUGGACUCGCGGCUUAUCAGCUUGUUGGUGGGGUAGUGGCUUACCAAGGCUUUGACGGGUAGCCGGCCUGGGAGGGUGACCGGCCACAUUGGGAGUGGGAUACGCCCCAGACUCAUACGGGGGGCAGCAGUGGGGAAUAUUGCACAAUGGGCGGAAGCCUGAUGCAGCAACGCCGCGUGCGGGAUGACGGCCUUCGGGUUGUAAACCGCUUUCGCCUGUGACGAAGCGUGAGUGACGGUAAUGGGUAAAGAAGCACCGGCUAACUACGU
rnacentral:rRNA from 1 species